AAGAUCUCAUGCAACUUUUUGUAAAAUAUAGAUUUCCCCUCAUUUGGAGCAUAUAAGCCUACUAUCAAAAAUUUUUCUCCUUGUGCUUGAAUUUCAAUUGCUAUAAAUCUUCCUUGUUCAUCCUUAAAAACGAAUUUUGGUGAGAGGCUCUCCUUUGCAUAAAUGACCACUCCUCGUUUUUUAACUUUAUCUGAUGAAAUAAAUUCUUGACCCAAUCUCUUAUUAAUCAGUAUUUUCCUAUGGAGCCUCGUCACAUGAGUUUCCUGUAGGCAGAUUAAGUCCAGUUGUUCUUUUUUAAGUAUAUGAAAUACUUUCCUCCUUAUUACCAGAGAAUUUAGACCACAAACAUUCCAAGUUAAAAGUUGCAGAGCCAUGAUGGUUUCUUUAUUUUCCUCCAACUGCUCCCAAUAACUCUUCUUCCUCUGUUGGUGGUUUCACCUUCUCUGUCUUAUCCUCUCCCAACGGUGGUAGUGUAAGAUCCAAUCCUGGUAAAGGGGCUUUUGGCUCCUUCCCCAAUCCUUUUUGUAGGUCCUCUUGAUGGUCUCUCAAAAAGUUCUGUUUCUCCUCCACAGAUUUUAUUUUAAUUUUCUUGCCUUUAAAACUGAAAGAUAGACCUUGAGGAAAUUCCCACCUGAAAAAAAAUUCUGUUUCCUCUCAGCAGCGUCACCAGGUCCCGGUAGUUGGACCUAAGCUCCAAAAGGAGCUUUGGAAUGUCUUUAAAUAUUUCUAUCCUUGAGUCUUGUAUUAUCAGUGUAUUUCGGUAGUGUAAACUCAAAAUUUGAUCUCGUUCCUCCUUAGAUCGCAGGGUAAUCAGGCAGUCUCUCACUCUGUUCUUUCUUGCUCCUCUUCCAAGCCUGAAAGCAGACGUUAUCUUGAAGUCUUCCUUUUCAUUCAAUUGCCAAAAUUUGGCAAAUUCUUGUGUCAAAAAGUCUACCAGGCUCUCUUUCUCAAUCUCAGGUACUGCUCUGAUCCUUAAAUUGGUCUGUUUCUCCUUUAGCUCAAGGACAGAUAGCAAUUCCUGGUGCGUUCCCAAUCUUGUAUGGUGCUCUUCAACUUGUUUAAUUAAAGGUGGUAAUUUUUCUUCAGCAGCUACCGCCUUUUCUCUAGCUUCCAAAGCUGUUUUUUGAGUUUCAGCAGAUUGUUCCAGUAAUUUUUUAAUCACAUCUGUAUUUUCAUUAGUCUGUCGAGUCAGCUUAUCAAUACUUGCUGAGUUUUGUCUAAUAGCUUCUAGUGCCUCGGCAUUCUGUUGGCCCAGUUUUUCAAAACCUUCAUUCACAAUUUUAAAUAGACUAGCAAGUCCUUCUUCCUCUCCUUGUGGCCCAGGAAUGGAUGGCCUACGUUGUUGCUGUUGAGCAAUGUUGCUCUGCUGCCUGCCUUUCCCGGACCUCAAGUUUCUUUCCUCCAUAGCACUUUAUCUAGAAAUCAAGGUCACUCUCACAGCUGGAGUUGUUUUGCUGUUAAGCUUUCCCAGGCUGCUGUUGGGUGGAAAAUUCCUCAGUCAAUUGAAGACUUUUUCCCCUUUGGCCUCCAGGGGGACACAAGUAAUAAAGUAUCAAAAACUCUCAAAAACUUAUUAUUAUUUUUCUUUUUUUUUCCUUUUUCUUUUUUGUUUAAACCCCUUCAGCCAAAGAGGCAACUUUUUUCCCCAAAGUUUCAAUAUUGUGAAGUUAAUAGGCAAGAAGAUACAUUGUCCAUUUAGAGUGCUAACAAAGUAUCCAAUCUUUCCAGACCUGGCAGUCUGUCUCCAGGGAUUGAGAGGUGGUCUUGGUUUCCUUAUUACUCUUCUUUAGUUACAGAAAAAUAACCAGAAAUAACAAGAAAUACUAUCUCUUCUUCCCCCCCUUCUCCAAUUAUGGGAGGGAAGGUUUUUAAAUUUGACGUCUGUGAUUCAGUCUCUUUUGACAGUCUUUGGUAUCGAACUCACACAGUCUUUGCUUUACUACUUUAUACAAGCCGGGAGGUGGACUUCCUUUUUACACCUUCCCGCUUCAGCCAAAUUAGUUCAAAAAUUUUGUUGGUCCUUCUAAAACGUCAAACCUACUCACGGGUUGUAGUUUGACAGCCGAAUUGUCAAGGAAGAAAGGUCAGCGCUCUCCAGCAACAGCCGCACGGCUUCACUCCGCGAAAGUAGCAGAAGACUCACAGUGCCGCGCCACCCCCGUCCUGCUUCGGAGCCCCUCGCGGGGUUCCUUUGCCGUUUAGGGGCGCGCUCCAGGCACCCGCCGAGUCCCACGACCGCAGGCUUCCUCCGCCUGCGGGUUUCAAAAGGGUCUCCGCUGCGCCGUAGCGGAUCGACCCGGUUUUCGUGGAGUCUCUCCUCCGAGCUUACGAGGAGAUCGCCAUUGCUUGUUGGCGCCGCCUCCGGAAGU